UACGUAGGGGGCAAGCGUUGUCCGGAUUUAUUGGGCGUAAAGAGCUCGUAGGUGGUUUGGUAAGUCGGAUGUGAAAUCUCCAGGCUCAACCUGGAGGGGUCAUUCGAUACUGCCAUGACUAGAGGUCGGUAGGGGAGUGUGGAAUUCCUGGUGGAGCGGUGAAAUGCGCAGAUAUCAGGAGGAACACCCGUAGCGAAGGCGGCACUCUGGGCCGAUUCUGGCACUGAGGAGCGAAAGCGUGGGGAGCGAACAGG
rnacentral:rRNA from 1 species